AUUUAUAUAGUUUAAAUUAAAACAUUACAUUUUCAAUGUAAAAUUAAAAUCAAUUUUUGUAAAUA
rnacentral:tRNA from 1 species